rnacentral:rRNA from 1 species
GAUGAACGCUAGCGGCAGGCCUAACACAUGCAAGUCGAGGGGGAAGCGCUUUCGGGGGCAGUAACCGGCGCACUGGCGCGUGGCGCGUAUACAACCUACCUUUCACACUGGGAUAGCCGGAUGACAUUUGGAUUAGUACGCCAUAAUCUUAUAACAUGACAUCUUGUGAUAUUUAUAACUGCGAUGGUGAAAUAUGGGCAUUCCUCCUAUUCGCUAGUUGGAGUGGUAACGGCACCCCAAGGCUACGAUAGGUAGGGGUCGUGAGAGGGAGAACCCCCACACUGGUACAGGGACAGGGACCAGACUCCUAGGGGAGGCAGCGGUGAGGAAUAUAGGGCAAUGGUUGGAAGCCUGAACCAGCCAUGCCGCGUGGAGGAAGUAUGCCUUAUGAGGUGUUAACGGCAUUGAUAUGGGAAUGAUAAGGCGUACGUGUACGUUGAUGACGGUACCAUAUGAAUAAGCGACGGCUAACUCCGUG